rnacentral:tRNA from 1 species
GGCCCCGUCGUCUAGCGGCCUAGGACACCGCCCUCUCAAGGCGGCGGCGCCGGUUCGAAUCCGGUCGGGGCUACAA